GAGUGGCGAACGGGUGAGUAAUAUAUCGGAACGUACCCAAGAGUGGGGGAUAACGUAGCGAAAGUUACGCUAAUACCGCAUACGAUCCAAGGAUGAAAGCAGGGGACCGCAAGGCCUUGUGCUCCUGGAGCGGCCGAUAUCUGAUUAGCUAGUUGGUGAGGUAAAGGCUCACCAAGGCGACGAUCAGUAGCUGGUCUGAGAGGACGACCAGCCACACUGGAACUGAGACACGGUCCAGACUCCUACGGGAGGCAGCAGUGGGGAAUUUUGGACAAUGGGCGCAAGCCUGAUCCAGCAAUGCCGCGUGAGUGAAGAAGGCCUUCGGGUUGUAAAGCUCUUUUGUCAGGGAAGAAACGGCUGUGGCUAAUAUCCACGGCUAAUGACGGUACCUGAAGAAUAAGCACCGGCUAACUACGUGCCAGCAGCCGCGGUAAUACGUAGGGUGCAAGCGUUAAUCGGAAUUACUGGGCGUAAAGCGUGCGCAGGCGGUUUUGUAAGUCUGUCGUGAAAUCCCCGGGCUUAACCUGGGAAUGGCGAUGGAGACUGCAAGGCUGGAAUCUGGCAGAGGGGGGUAGAAUUCCACGUGUAGCAGUGAAAUGCGUAGAGAUGUGGAGGAACACCGAUGGCGAAGGCAGCCCCCUGGGCUAAGAUUGACGCUCAUGCACGAAAGCGUGGGGAGCAAACAGGAUUAGAUACCCUG
rnacentral:rRNA from 1 species